GUAGGGAAUCUUCGGCAAUGGGGGCAACCCUGACCGAGCAACGCCGCGUGAGUGAAGAAGGUUUUCGGAUCGUAAAGCUCUGUUGUAAGAGAAGAACGUGUGUGAGAGUGGAAAGUUCACACAGUGACGGUAACUUACCAGAAAGGGACGGCUAACUACGUGCCAGCAGCCGCGGUAAUACGUAGGUCCCGAGCGUUGUCCGGAUGUAUUGGGCGUAAAGCGAGCGCAGGCGGUUUAAUAAGUCUGAAGUUAAAGGCAGUGGCUUAACCAUUGUUCGCUUUGGAAACUGUUAAACUUGAGUGCAGAAGGGGAGAGUGGAAUUCCAUGUGUAGCGGUGAAAUGCGUAGAUAUAUGGAGGAACACCGGUGGCGAAAGCGGCUCUCUGGUCUGUAACUGACGCUGAGGCUCGAAAGCGUGGGGAGCAAACAGGAUUAGAUACCCUUGUAGUCC
rnacentral:rRNA from 1 species